rnacentral:snRNA from 1 species
AGCUUUGCGCAGUGGCAGUAUCGUAGCCAAUGAGGUUUAUCCGAGGCGCGAUUAUUGCUAAUAAUAUUCUUUGCUUCUCCCAAAGCCACAAUAUUUUAUUUAUUUUCACUAUCUUGCUAAGGAA